GAUGAACGCCGGCGGCGUGCCUAAUACAUGCAAGUCGAGCGAACGGACGAGAAGCUUGCUUUUCUGAUGUUAGCGGCGGACGGGUGAGUAACACGUGGAUAACCUACCUAUAAGACUGGGAUAACUUCGGGAAACCGGAGCUAAUACCGGAUAAUAUUUUGAACCGCAUGGUUCAUAAGUGAAAGACGGUCUUGCUGUCACUUAUAGAUGGAUCCGCGCUGCAUUAGCUAGUUGGUAAGGUAACGGCUUACCAAGGCAACGAUGCAUAGCCGACCUGAGAGGGUGAUCGGCCACACUGGAACUGAGACACGGUCCAGACUCCUACGGGAGGCAGCAGUAGGGAAUCUUCCGCAAUGGGCGAAAGCCUGACGGAGCAACGCCGCGUGAGUGAUGAAGGUCUUCGGAUCGUAAAACUCUGUUAUUAGGGAAGAACAUAUGUGUAAGUAACUGUGCACAUCUUGACGGUACCUAAUCAGAAAGCCACGGCUAACUACGUG
rnacentral:rRNA from 1 species